AGACAAUGAAUGGUAGAAGCAAGUGUACAUGAAGCAGAUAUGCAUGGUGUUCGAGCUGCUCAGCUUCAGCCCAGAGAGAACAACCUCGUGUUAUUUUGGAGAUUUAGCCAUUUCAGAUGAGCAAGAGCAAAAUAAGAUGAAAACACUAUGAAGACGACACAAGAACACACGGAAGAAUCGCAUCGGGUGUCACCCACUUACAAGGAGCGCCCACCUGGAAGAGCAAAUGGGGGCGCCAAGCUAUGCACGUCUUGGUCAACACCUGCGCCCAUUCGUCAGCUUGCCGGGGAAGGUAGAGCCGGGGAAGCGCCACCUGGAGAGCGGCCGACCUGUGGGGUUGGUCGAACCUGGCCUUGAUCCCAUCCACGUGCACUUCGAGGAGGAGUCACGAGCAAGGCACCUGAUCACCUCUAUAUGUGCGUGUGGCAGGAAGUGACCUCCACUAGUAUAAAUAGGGCCUCGCUCACCCGCUCUCCACACACACACACACACACACUCACUCACACACACACAUACACACACUACACCACACCUCUCAAGGCUCUCCCUUGCUCUUGUAACUUAUGCUAGUGGAGCUAGGCUAGUACCCUUCCUCAGUGAAUCAAGUCGUCCUCGGGGUUGUCGAGCAAUCCUCAGCCUCUAGUAUGCCUUUGUAUUCAUCUUGUCAGCAUUCUAUUCAUAAUAUAGAGUUUCAUCA